GCUCGCUUGGUCUAGUUGGUUAUGGCGCCGGUCUCAUAUUUCCAAGUAUGACUGCUUCUCAGAAGCGGGUGAUCCGGAGGUCGGCAGUUCGAUCCUGCCAGCGAGCA